rnacentral:misc_RNA from 1 species
UACGGAGGGUGCGAGCGUUAAUCGGAAUGACUGGGCGUAAAGGGCAUGUAGGCGGGUCAUUAAGUUAGGUGUGAAAUCCCCGGGCUUAACCUGGGAACUGCACUUAAAACUGGUGGUCUGGAGUAUUGUAGAGGAAGGUAGAAUUCCAUGUGUAGCGGUGAAAUGCGUAGAGAUGUGGAGGAAUACCGGUGGCGAAGGCGGCCUUCUGGACAAAUACUGACGCUGAGAUGCGAAAGCGUGGGGAGCAAACAGG